GAUAAAGGAAGGAAUUAAACCCCCUUUAAUAGGACUACAGCCUACCGCCUAUCAUUCGGCCACUUUACC
rnacentral:tRNA from 1 species